rnacentral:rRNA from 1 species
AGUGAACGCUGGCGGUAGGCCUAACACAUGCAAGUCGAACGGCAGCACAGUAAGAGCUUGCUCUUACGGGUGGCGAGUGGCGGACGGGUGAGGAAUACAUCGGAAUCUACUUUUUCGUGGGGGAUAACGUAGGGAAACUUACGCUAAUACCGCAUACGACCUACGGGUGAAAGCAGGGGAUCUUCGGACCUUGCGCGAUUGAAUGAGCCGAUGUCGGAUUAGCUAGUUGGCGGGUUAAAGGCCCACCAAGGCCACGAUCCGUAGCUGGUCUGAGAGGAUGAUCAGCCACACUGGAACUGAGAAACGGUCCAGACUCCUACGGGAGGCAGCAGUGGGGAAUAUUGGACAAUGGGCGCAAGCCUGAUCCAGCCAUACCGCGUGGGUGAAGAAGGCCUUCGGGUUGUAAAGCCCUUUUGUUGGGAAAGAAAAGCAGCAGGUUAAUACCCCGCUGUUCUGACGGUACCCAAAGAAUAAGCACCGGCUAACUUCGUG